UAGCUAGUUGGUGGGGUAAGGGCCUACCAAGGCGACGAUCGGUAGCUGGUCUGAGAGGAUGACCAGCCACACUGGAACUGAGACACGGUCCAGACUCCUACGGGAGGCAGCAGUGGGGAAUAUUGGACAAUGGGGGCAACCCUGAUCCAGCAAUGCCGCGUGUGUGAAGAAGGCCUGAGGGUUGUAAAGCACUUUCAGUGGGGAGGAGGGUUGAUAGGUUAAGAGCUAAUUAACUGGACGUUACCCACAGAAGAAGCACCGGCUAACUCCGUGCCAGCAGCCGCGGUAAUACGGAGGGUGCGAGCGUUAAUCGGAAUUACUGGGCGUAAAGGGUGCGUAGGUGGUUGAUUAAGUUAUCUGUGAAAUUCCUGGGCUUAACCUGGGACGGUCAGAUAAUACUGGUUGACUCGAGUAUGGGAGAGGGUGGUGGAAUUUCCGGUGUAGCGGUGAAAUGCGUAGAGAUCGGAAGGAACACCAGUGGCGAAGGCGGCUACCUGGCCUAAUACUGACACUGAGGCACGAAAGCGUGGGGAGCAAACAGGACUAGAUACCCUGGUAGUCCACGCUGUAAACGAUGUCAACUAGCUGUUGGUUAUAUGAAAAUAAUUAGUGGCGC
rnacentral:rRNA from 1 species